rnacentral:lncRNA from 1 species
GUUAAGACAAGCAAGCCCACUCGCACAUGAAACCAUGACACUAUGGCAGGCCAACUUACUAGCUUUCAAGUAAGGUAACAUCUCAGACCAUCAUAGGUUUUGACAGGGGAAACUCUGAAGGACCACAGGAGUUGGAGGUUCCACGUAUCUCUAAGUAGUAACAUACGAUGGGUCCAAAACAGAAGAAAGAGAACUCAAGAUUCCCGAGCCACAGAGCUGUUGAUUGGAGGCUGACUCAGAGAAACCCUGGAUUCAGUGACAUACAGAGACAACAGGGACUUAAUCGCCUUCUGGACAAACAUAAUCUAUGCGACCUCCUCCCCAUAAGGUGCCAUAAGCAAAGUGAGCGGUUUGGAGAGAACACUGUACAUGACUUCCUGACUACAAUGGCCUGUGGCUGAUGAAGUACAGCACUUUGGUGGAAACAGGUACAGGAUCAGUAUGGGUUUUAAUUGAGGGGCUCGGCACCAAAUGACAGACUUGACACAUCCACCCCCACCAUGGAUGCUGUCCGUCCACUGUUGCACAAUGUCCUUCAGUGUCUAAUUUACAGAUCCAGCUGUAUUUCCCCUUCCACCUGCAUCCCUGAAGUUCCUCCCACCUGAAAACUUCACCUGACCCAAGAAAGCAAAGGAAAAAACCCGGAGAGCCAGCUCAUAGUCUGGUUCACUGUUUAACAGCCAGAAGCCAGAGCCUGCGUACUAGAAGUGGAUGCCCAGGAAGUACUUGUGAGCUGACUAAGAAUGUAAGAACGCCACCCACUUCAUUCAGGAAAGUGAGGCAGGAUUCCAUGGAGUAUGAAUGACUGCACAUGGAACAAGCAGGUUAUCAUUUAUAUUCAGCAAGGGACCUCCAUGAACAGGACAUUUGGGGAGCUGCUAUCAAACAUCAGAACUUCUGACACUGUGCACACAGUCUUAUAUUGUGCCUUGUCUGUUGUGAUGUCUCACUACAGUAAUGAUUAAGAUGAU